GACGAACGCUGGCGGCGCGCUUAACACAUGCAAGUCGAGCGGGAACCGGGCCUUCGGGCCCGGGGACAGCGGCGAACGGGUGAGUAACACGUGGGUAAUCUGCCCUCGGUACUGGGAUAGCCCGGGGAAACCCGGAUUAAUACCGGAUAGCCCUUCGAGCCUUCGGGCUCGCAGGAAAAGGUAGCUUCGGCCUCCGACCGAGGAUGAGCCCGCGGCGGAUUAGCUUGUUGGUGGGGUAACGGCCUACCAAGGCGACGAUCCGUAGCUGGUCUGAGAGGACGAUCAGCCACACUGGGACUGAGACACGGCCCAGACUCCUACGGGAGGCAGCAGUGGGGAAUCUUGCCCAAUGGGCGAAAGCCUGAGGCAGCGACGCCGCGUGCGGGAAGAAGGCCCUCGGGUUGUAAACCGCUUUCAGGAGGGACGAAGCCACUCGGGUUAAUAGCCCAGAGGGUGACGGUACCUCCAGAAGAAGCCCCGACUAACUACGUGCCAGCCGCCGCUGUAAUAC
rnacentral:rRNA from 1 species